GCCCCGCAGGCCUGGACGCCCGGCCCGCCAGAUGCAGGCAUGCACGCGUCGCUGGCAAGGCCCGGCGGAGGCAGCUAGGCCUGCCGCACCCCGAGUCUGGGAACCAGUGAGUGGGAGCAGGGGGUCUGGCUCGCCAAAGCGAAGUGCUUUAUCGCGUGGUCAACUGCCAACAGGCCAGAGACAGGAGGCGUUGGCUUCCACCCCUGCAGAACUGUUUUCGGGCGGUCUUUGAGGACAUUCAGAAAGCUGCACCAUUUCAUAUCUGGAGCAGGUCAGUGCCUGAUGGCGGAAGUUUGUGCUAUGACCUGUGCCUGGGGAUUAUGAGGAAGCAAAAUAAAAAUACAGAUCCUUCCCCUCCCAUGCAAGUAGGCUUUCACGCCUCAAGGGGAUGCUCCGACGACAGUGUUUGUUUCUUGUAAAUUAUACAUGUACACACAUGUUGAGUUUAUCAUAAAUACAAUGGGAUUCCUUGCCCCUUAUCUCAUCAGUAUUAAAGCCCCACAAGGCCCUAAGCUAAAUGUUACUCAGGACUUGUAGCCAAACACAGAAUUUAAAUCAACCACUUGAAAGUUGAACUGGCUCAGGAUUACUAAUUUCCUUUUGCCAAAAAUGAACUCAUUCCUAAUAGUCAUAAACCUACUUCCUGAUAUUGUGGUUUGAAGAUCCACAGAGAUCUUGUACAGCACUUAGCAUAGCCGUGGCGCUUACUUAUUUUAUUACUGGUCUA